UACGUAGGGACCAAGCGUUGUUCGGAUUUACUGGACGUAAAGGGCGCGUAGGCGGCUUGACAAGUCACUUGUGAAAUCUCCGGGCUUAACUCGGAACGGCCAAGUGAAACUGUCAUGCUAGAGUGCAGAAGGGGCAAUCGGAAUUCUUGGUGUAGCGGUGAAAUGCGUAGAUAUCAAGAGGAACACCUGAGGUGAAGACGGGUUGCUGGGCUGACACUGACGCUGAGGCGCGAAAGCCAGGGGAGCAAACGGG
rnacentral:rRNA from 1 species